GAUGAAGAACGCAGCGAAAUGCGAUAAGUAAUGUGAAUUGCAGAAUCCAGUGAAUCAUCGAAUCUUUGAACGCACAUUGCGCCCGCCAGCAUUCUGGCGGGCAUGCCUGUUCGAGCGUCAUUUCAACCCUCGACCUCCACUUGGGGAGGUCGGCGUUGGGGACCGGCAGCACACCGCCGGCCCUGAAAUGGAGUGGCGGCCCGUCUGCGGCGACCUCUGCGUAGUAAUACAGCUCGCACCGGAACCCCGACGCGGCCACGCCGUAAAACACCCAACUUCUGAACGUUGACCUCGAAUCAGGUAGGACUACCCGCUGAACUUAAGCAUAUCAAUAAGCGGAGGA
rnacentral:misc_RNA from 1 species